rnacentral:rRNA from 1 species
CCUGACUGCUAUCGGAGUAAGACUAAGCCAUGCAAGUCGACGCCCCUAGCUGCCGGUGGGGCGUGGCGCACCGCUCAGUAACACGUAGUCAACCUACCCCGUGGACGGGGACAAAGUCGGGAAACUGACUGUAAUCCCCGAUAGGAGAGGGGAUCUGGAACGCCCCUUCUCCCAAAGGCUUACGGAACCGUGCAUCCGUGGGCGCCGCGGGAUGGGACUGCGACCGAUCAGGUAGAUGGUGGGGUAACGGCCCACCAUGCCGAUAACCGGUACGGGCCCUGAGAGGGGGAGCCCGGAGAUGGACCCUGAGACAAUGGUCCAGGCCCUACGGGGCGCAGCAGGCGCGAAAACUCCGCAAUGCGCGCAAGCGUGACGGGGGAAUCCCAAGUGCCGUUGGUCUUAUGAUCGACGGUUUUUAGGAAGUCUAAGAAGCUUCCAGAAUAAGGGCUGGGCAAGACUGGUGCCAGCCGCCGCGGUAACACCAGCAGCCCAAGUGGUGACCACGAUUAUUGGGCCUAAAGCGCUCGUAGCCGGAUCAGCAAGUCCCUUGUGAAAUCGGGCCGCCUAACGGUUCGGCGUGCAAGGGAUACUGUUGGUCUUGAGGCCGGGAGAGGUCGGAGGUACUCCUGGGGUAGCGGUGAAAUGCUCUAAUCCUAGGGGGACCACCAGUGGCGAAGGCGUCCGACCAGAACGGACCUGACGGUGAGGGGCGAAGGCUAGGGGAGCGAACGGGAUUAGAUACCCCGGUAGUCCUAGCUGUAAAGCAUGCGGGCCAGGUGUCUAGCGCUCCUUGAGGGCGCUAGGUGCCGGAGGGAAGCCGUUAAGCCCGCCGCCUGGGAAGUACGGCCGCAAGGCUGAAACUUAAAGAAAUUGGCGGGGGAGCACCACAAGAGGUGGGACCUGCGGUUC